rnacentral:rRNA from 1 species
UACGGAGGGUGCAAGCGUUGCUCGGAAUUACUGGGCGUAAAGGGCGUGUAGGCGGUUUCGUAUGUCUGGCGUGAAAGCCCGGGCUCACCUCGGGAAGGUGCGUCGGAAACUGCGAGACUAGAGUCCCGGAGAGGGACGGUGGAAGUUCCAGGUGAGCGGUGAAAUGCGUAGAUAUCUGGAAGAACACCGGUGGCGAAAGCGGCCUGCCUGG